rnacentral:rRNA from 1 species
AAAAAGAACCUGAAACCGUGUACGUACAAGCAGUGGGAGCACGCUUAGGCGUGUGACUGCGUACCUUUUGUAUAAUGGGUCAGCGACUUAUAUUCUGUAGCAAGGUUAACCGAAUAGGGGAGCCGAAGGGAAACCGAGUCUUAACUGGGCGUUAAGUUGCAGGGUAUAGACCCGAAACCCGGUGAUCUAGCCAUGGGCAGGUUGAAGGUUGGGUAACACUAACUGGAGGACCGAACCGACUAAUGUUGAAAAAUUAGCGGAUGACUUGUGGCUGGGGGUGAAAGGCCAAUCAAACCGGGAGAUAGCUGGUUCUCCCCGAAAGCUAUUUAGGUAGCGCCUCGUGAAUUCAUCUCCGGGGGUAGAGCACUGUUUCGGCAAGGGGGUCAUCCCGACUUACCAACCCGAUGCAAACUGCGAAUACCGGAGAAUGUUAUCACGGGAGACACACGGCGGGUGCUAACGUCCGUCGUGAAGAGGGAAACAACCCAGACCGCCAGCUAAGGUCCCAAAGUCAUGGUUAAGUGGGAAACGAUGUGGGAAGGCCCAGACAGCCAGGAUGUUGGCUUAGAAGCAGCCAUCAUUUAAAGAAAGCGUAAUAGCUCACUGGUCGAGUCGGCCUGCGCGGAAGAUGUAACGGGGCUAAACCAUGCACCGAAGCUGCGGCAGCGACGCUUAUGCGUUGUUGGGUAGGGGAGCGUUCUGUAAGCCUGCGAAGGUGUGCUGUGAGGCAUGCUGGAGGUAUCAGAAGUGCGAAUGCUGACAUAAGUAACGAUAAAGCGGGUGAAAAGCCCGCUCGCCGGAAGACCAAGGGUUCCUGUCCAACGUUAAUCGGGGCAGGGUGAGUCGACCCCUAAGGCGAGGCCGAAAGGCGUAGUCGAUGGGAAACAGGUUAAUAUUCCUGUACUUGGUGUUACUGCGAAGGGGGGACGGAGAAGGCUAUGUUGGCCGGGCGACGGUUGUCCCGGUUUAAGCGUGUAGGCUGGUUUUCCAGGCAAAUCCGGAAAAUCAAGGCUGAGGCGUGAUGACGAGGCACUACGGUGCUGAAGCAACAAAUGCCCUGCUUCCAGGAAAAGCCUCUAAGCAUCAGGUAACAUCAAAUCGUACCCCAAACCGACACAGGUGGUCAGGUAGAGAAUACCAAGGCGCUUGAGAGAACUCGGGUGAAGGAACUAGGCAAAAUGGUGCCGUAACUUCGGGAGAAGGCACGCUGAUAUGUAGGUGAAGUCCCUCGCGGAUGGAGCUGAAAUCAGUCGAAGAUACCAGCUGGCUGCAACUGUUUAUUAAAAACACAGCACUGUGCAAACACGAAAGUGGACGUAUACGGUGUGACGCCUGCCCGGUGC